rnacentral:rRNA from 1 species
UUGUACACACCGCCCGUCGCUACUACCGAUUGAAUGGCUCAGUGAGGCGUCCGGACUGGCCCAGAGAGGUGGGCAACUACCACUCAGGGCCGGAAAGCUCUCCAAACUCGGUCAUUUAGAGGAAGUAAAAGUCGUAACAAGGUCUCCGUUGGUGAACCAGCGGAGGGAUCAUUA